UGGGGAAUAUUGGACAAUGGGCGCAAGCCUGAUCCAGCCAUGCCGCGUGAGUGAUGAAGGCCCUAGGGUUGUAAAGCUCUUUCACCGUUGAUGAUAAUGACGGUAACCGGAGAAGAAGCCCCGGCUAACUUCGUGCCAGCAGCCGCGGUAAUACGAAGGGGGCUAGCGUUGUUCGGAUUUACUGGGCGUAAAGCGCACGUAGGCGGACUUUUAAGUCAGGGGUGAAAUCCCGGGGCUCAACCCCGGAACUGCCUUUGAUACUGGAAGUCUUGAGUAUGGUAGAGGUGCAUGGAAUUCCGGGUGUAGAGGUGAAAUUCGUAGAUAUUAGGAGGAACACCAGUGGCGAAGGCGGCGCACUGGACCAUUACUGGCGCUGAGGUGCGAAAGCGUGGGGAGCAAACAGG
rnacentral:rRNA from 1 species